rnacentral:rRNA from 1 species
UGGAUCCAGACUUUGAUUCUGGCUCAGGAUGAACGCUAGCUACAGGCUUAACACAUGCAAGUCGAGGGGAAACGACAUUGAAAGCUUGCUUUUGAUGGGCGUCGACCGGCGCACGGGUGAGUAACGCGUAUCCAACCUGCCCACCACUUGGGGAUAACCUUGCGAAAGUAAGACUAAUACCCAAUGACGUCUCUAGAAGACAUCUGAAAGAGAUUAAAGAUUUAUCGGUGAUGGAUGGGGAUGCGUCUGAUUAGCUUGUUGGCGGGGUAACGGCCCACCAAGGCUACGAUCAGUAGGGGUUCUGAGAGGAAGGUCCCCCACAUUGGAACUGAGACACGGUCCAAACUCCUACGGGAGGCAGCAGUGAGGAAUAUUGGUCAAUGGACGAGAGUCUGAACCAGCCAAGUAGCGUGCAGGAUGACGGCCCUAUGGGUUGUAAACUGCUUUUAUAAGGGAAUAAAGUGAGUCUCGUGAGACUUUUUGCAUGUACCUUAUGAAUAAGGACCGGCUAAUUCCGUGCCAGCAGCCGCGGUAAUACGGAAGGUCCGGGCGUUAUCCGGAUUUAUUGGGUUUAAAGGGAGCGUAGGCCGGAGAUUAAGCGUGUUGUGAAAUGUAGAUGCCCAACAUCUGCACUGCAGCGCGAACUGGUUUCCUUGAGUACGCACAAAGUGGGCGGAAUUCGUGGUGUAGCGGUGAAAUGCUUAGAUAUCACGAGGAACUCCGAUUGCGAAGGCAGCUCACUGGAGCGCAACUGACGCUGAAGCUCGAAAGUGCGGGUAUCGAACAGGAUUAGAUACCCUGGUAGUCCGCACGGUAAACGAUGGAUGCCCGCUGUUGGUCUGAAUAGGUCAGCGGCCAAGCGAAAGCAUUAAGCAUCCCACCUGGGGAGUACGCCGGCAACGGUGCAACUCAAAUGAAUUGACGGA